rnacentral:rRNA from 1 species
AGAGUUUGAUCCUGGCUCAGGCCCUUUGCUGGCGGCGCGCCUAACACAUGCAAGUCGAACGGGCCUAUCUCGGAAGAAGUUUUCGGAUGGAUUUUGGGAUAGUUUAGUGGCGGACGGGUGAGUAACACGUGAGCAACCUGCCUUUGAGAGGGGAAUAACGGCUGGAAACGGUCGCUAAUACCGCAUAACGUACGGAUGGGACAUCCUGUCCGUACCAAAGAUUUAUCGCUCGAAGAUGGGCUCGCGUCCGAUUAGGUAGUUGGUGAGGUAACGGCCCACCAAGCCGACGAUCGGUAGCCGGACUGAGAGGUUGAACGGCCACAUUGGGACUGAGACGCGGCCCAGACUCCUACGGGAGGCAGCAGUGGGGGAUAUUGCACAAUGGGGGAAACCCUGAUGCAGCGACGCCGCGUGUGGGAAGACGGUCUUCUGGAUUGUAAACCACUGUCCCCAGGGACGAAAAUGACGGUACCUGGGGAGGAAGCUCCGGCUAACUACGUGCCAGCAGCCGCGGUAAUACGUAAGGAGCAAGCGUUGUCCGGAAUUACUGGGUGUAUCGGGAGCGUACGCGGGGAUGCAAGUUGGGUGUCACAACUACCGGCUCAACCGAUAGUCGCACUCACAACUGCAGCUCUUGAUUGAAGUA